rnacentral:lncRNA from 1 species
UAGUUAGGGUUUUCAAGCUUCCAAGCUCCAUAGUAAGUGAUCCCAAGCCCCGUUUUUAAUGUUCUUUACGUUUUUGGAGUCCCGGUAGCUUAAUUUAGCUUAUUCUAGCAAUAAUUCGUGCUAGGGUUCAUAUUUGGAAAAAUACCCAUAGGUGAAAUGGGUUUAUUUUGCUGUUUUAUGGUGGAAUAUGAAGCUAGAAAUUAUGUUAAAUAACUUUUGCUAAGCGAUUUUAAACGAAAACGGGUAAAUAGACAUAAUCGGUAAAAAUACCUAAUGUUCAAAAGUGUGUGUUAGAGUGAGAAUUUGAUGUUGUCAUAGAAGGGAAAAAUGUUCA